AUACGGAGGAUCCGAGCGUUAUCCGGAUUUAUUGGGUUUAAAGGGUGCGCAGGCGGCCAUUUAAGUCAGCGGUUAAAUCGCGGGGCUCAACCCCAUUCUGCCGUUGAUACUGGGUGGCUUGAUUGCGGUCGAGGUUGGCGGAAUUCGUUGUGUAGCGGGGAAAUGCAUAGAUAUGACGAAGAACACCGAUUGCGUAGGCAGCUGACCAGACCGCAAAUGACGCUCAUGCACGAAAGUGCGGGGAUCGAACAGGAUUAGAUACCCUGGUAGUCCGCACAGUAAACGAUGAAUACUUGUUUUCGGCGAUAUAAUGUCGGAGGCAAAGUGAAAGCGAUAAGUAUUCCACCUGGGGAGUACGCCGGCAACGGUGAAACUCAAAUGAAUUGACGGGG
rnacentral:rRNA from 1 species